rnacentral:lncRNA from 1 species
AGAACUACUACGUACAAAAUAUCUUUAUCAUAAAAAAAUAUAAUAAUCAAAUAUUACUCCAUUUGACAGAGUUUUCUUAAAAAAAAAAAAAAGUGUUUAAAUAGUUUUUAAUGUAUUGCAUAGAUCAGCUGACACGCGGUUAUUUUAAAUUUAACUAAACUUUUUUGUUCGAGUCUUAUAAAUAUAGUUAUGUUAAAUAUUUAUUAGAAAAUUUUUAAUAUAUUUUAAUUGUACAGUAUAAAUAAAUUAAUUAAUUAAGCUUUAAUCUAUUUUAGUUUUAUAGUAUAAAUAAAUUAAUUAACUAAUUAGAGGUGCGGUUUUGAGCGGUUGUAACAAUAAUUAAAAAAGAAAACAAUGUGAAGCUAUAGAUAUAUAUAUGGCUAUUCAAUUUUCAGGAACAAAUUGACUUAAUGUUUGACCGCUUAGUUUUUAAACAAUUUUUUUUAAUCAAUCAUCUAAUUUAAAAUCUUAGAGAUGCAUGAACUUAAAAAUUAAUUUAAAUAUUAUCCAUUCUCUGCUGGGUCUUUAUAAAUAGAGAACAGACCGAAACACGUAAUCAUGGGCAUAUCCACUUGGCUAGAGAGGGCUUUAUAGAUUUUUCAAUUUUUUGUCAUUCUAAAAACAAAUAAAAGUUUUCAGCUACGAAUUGCUAUUAAUGUGUUAAAAAUAAAUAAAUGUGAUAUCAUUAUCGUUUAAUCUUAUUUAUUCCAUUGUAUUCAAAAAAAAAAUCUUAUUUAUUCCAUUAAUUUAUUUAUUUUUAUCUAUCGAAUUCUAACAUGCUGUAUGAGUUGAUGAAUUCAUUCAAUUUAUCAUUUAUUAUUUUAAUGUAGAGUGAAUAAAAAAUUUGUAUAUUUUAACAUCUCGUGACUUUGCACGCACGUGUUGGACAUUCAAGAGCUACACUGCUAGGGACCUACUGACCACUAAUUUGUUUUGAUGGUGAUUAACUUUCUGGUCAAAUCAGGCAGUUGUUCUGAUCAACGGCGGUCAAGAUUCCAUCUAUGAUCACAUUUCUAUUGGUCGCCUCUACUGAAUUAUUAUAACUUAAUUUUAAUGCAUGAUCAUGGAUUAGGGACAGAAAAAUGGCCAUAAUCAUAACAAUGUCCCCUUAACGGUUCAGAGGCAAUGUGGGAUAAUCAUCGCAGUCCAAUUCAUCUUCCAACCGUGGCCAUUGGAUAAUCCGCCUUCAAUUUGGAAAGUUGCCAAAAAUGAGUAAGGCUCCAGCCCCCUGCCCUAAAUAACAUUAUCGUGGGGCUCUCAUAUGGGAUCGAACACCUUUUCUUUUCUUUUCUUUUUUUUUUAAACAUAUAUUCGAUUUAAACCCAUAUCAAUAUAUUCUCUUAAAUUGAACAUUUUACCCCUACUGGCUACUGAUUAAAAAAAAAAAAGAUGUUAAAAAAGAAAAAUAAAAUUGUUAUGUUAGCCACAAAAUGGACAAAUAGUUUAAAGAGCAUUGAAUAAGAUUCUCUUAAAGCAGUGGACUUAAAAAAAAAAGGGCUNNNNNNNNNNNNNNNNNNNNNNNNNNNNNNNNNNNNNNNNNNNNNNNNNNNNNNNNNNNNNNNNNNNNNNNNNNNNNNNNNNNNNNNNNNNNNNNNNNNNNNNNNNNNNNNNNNNNNNNNNNNNNNNNNNNNGGGGGGGGGGGGGGGCGGUUAUAUUCUAUUACAGUACAGUUAGCAAAAGCAAAUAAUAAUAUUCUCCUUUAUUCCUUUGAAUAUCUAUGCAUCUGUUACGAUAGUUACAUUGUUCAUAAUGUGAAACAUAAUUUUAAAGAAUAAUGUUAAAGAAAUAAAACCAUGAUUAAAAAAAAAAGUCUUCUAGUCAAUUUAUGUAAUUUUCUAUAAUGAUUUUUCUUUUUUCUUUUUAAACAAAUUCCAAAAUUUACCGACCGACAAAAUUUUUUUGUCAUGGUUUCAUCUUGUUGCUCAAUUUGAAAAUUGUACUGAUCUAAACAAGUAUUGAACAUAAUUAUGAGUAAGCUUGUGAUAAGUUUAUAUUACUAUUUUUAUUUUGGAAAACUAACCGAAACAUUUUUUUUUUUGGGGAAGCUGUGUUAAUAAUUAAAUACUGAAAACUUGCAUAAAAGCACAAUAAAAUUAAAAAAGUUAUAUCCAGCAAAUAUUAUGAAUAAUUUUAUUUCAGAAUAUUCGCCUAAAUGAUAAGUCACUGAUAGUAAAAAUGGUGUAAUAAGUAAAGCAUUUGGGUGUGUGGUACAGCAUUAUGAAAGAACCAUAUUGUGAGAUUGACACGUAGAUGAUCGCUAAAUAAUUAAUGAUUAAUAAAUAAUGAAAGCAAAAUGCAAAUUUUAUAGUUGCAUUUAUGCAAGAGAAGCUCCUUGUAGUGAGCAACUGAGGGCGCUCCCAUCACCGAGAUAUCACGAGAAAUUGUAUGUUAUGAAAAAAUUGAAGAAAACUUCUCCCCUGGAAUUUCUCACCAACCUUCUCCGUUUUUUUCUCAGUUUCAUUUUUUUUCCCCACAAUUAAUUAUCUAUUUUCCCAAGGCUUUUUGGCUUUGCGUUGCUAGGUGCUAGCUCAGCUGCAAAAACUUUACCAUUCCUCAACGCACAUUCUUUUCUACAUCACUUUGGCAGCUUUCACACUCUCCUCACUCUCUCUCUCUCUCUCUCUCUCUCUCUCUCUCUCUAAACCUCCAUUGUUUGUCUCCCUCAGCUCACUUGAGUCUCAGCUUCAAAGGUAAGCAAGUUGUUCACUUUGCAUUUCAUAAAUUUUCUCCAACGGUCACUUUUCUUCUAGUUCUCUGUAAAAAGAUGUGUUUUUGGGUUGUUUUGUUUCUUGUUCUUUGUAACUUCAAUGGUUUUGUGGAUUCUCUGAAUGGUGAAGGCUAUGCACUUUUGUCAUUUAAGCAGUCUGUACAUGAAGACCCCGAAGGGUCUUUGAGUAACUGGAACUCUUCUGAUGAGAAUCCUUGUUCAUGGAAUGGAAUUACAUGCAAGGAACAAAGAGUUGUUUCUGUUAGCAUUCCCAAGAAGAAACUUCUUGGGUUUCUUCCUUCUGCCUUAGGCUCUUUGACUGAUCUUCGUCAUGUAAAUUUAAGGAAUAAUAUGUUUUUUGGUAGCUUGCCUGUUGAGCUUCUUGAAGCACAAGGGCUCCAAAGUUUGGUUCUUUAUGGGAAUUCCUUUUCUGGGUCUGUGCCGAAUGAGAUUGGCAAGCUUAAGUACCUUCAAAUUUUGGAUUUGUCUCAGAAUUUCUUUAAUGGGUCAUUACCUGUGUCAAUUGUGCAAUGCAAGAGACUGAAAGCUCUUGAUCUUAGUCAAAAUAAUUUCACUGGUCCUUUGCCAAAUGGGUUUGGUAGUGGUUUGGUUUCACUUGAAAAACUUAAUCUUUCAUUCAAUAAAUUCAAUGGUUCGAUUCCAAGUAACACGGGAAAUUUGUCUAGUUUGCAAGGAACUGUUGAUUUUUCCCAUAAUCUCUUUAGUGGUUCAAUUCCAGCUAGCUUAGGAAAUCUUCCUGAGAAGGUAUACAUUGAUUUAACUUAUAACAAUUUGAGUGGACCGAUACCCCAAAAUGGUGCUCUAAUGAAUAGAGGACCGACUGCAUUUAUUGGGAACCCCAGGCUCUGUGGGCCCCCAUUGAAGAACCCUUGUUCUUCAGAUGUUCCAGGUGCAAGUUCACCAGCUUCAUAUCCGUUUCUGCCUAAUAAUUACCCACCUGAGAAUGGAGAUGAUGGUGGAGGAAAGAGAGAAAAAGGAAGAGGGCUUAGUAAGAGUGCUAUAGUAGCUAUAAUUGUGAGUGAUGUAAUUGGAAUUUGCCUUGUCGGGCUAUUGUUCUCAUAUUGCUAUUCAAGGGUUUGUGGUUUUGGCGAGGGCAAGGAUGAAAAUUGUUAUGCAAAAGGAGGUAAGGGAAGAAAAGAGUGUUUGUGCUUCAGGAAAGAUGAAUCAGAGACUCUCUCAGAGAAUGUUGAACAGUAUGACCUUGUGCCGCUGGAUACACAGGUGGCUUUUGAUUUGGAUGAGCUGCUUAAGGCUUCAGCUUUUGUUCUUGGCAAGAGUGGAAUUGGGAUUGUAUACAAAGUUGUGCUUGAAGAUGGACAUACCUUAGCAGUGAGAAGGUUGGGUGAAGGCGGCUCUCAGAGGUUUAAGGAGUUCCAAACCGAAGUAGAAGCAAUUGGGAAGAUAAGGCAUUCAAACAUUGUAACUCUCAGAGCAUAUUACUGGUCUGUUGAUGAGAAACUGCUCAUAUAUGAUUAUAUACCUAAUGGAAGCCUAGCCACUGCACUCCAUGGUAUGUUUUACAAAACCCUCUUGUGAAUACUGUCAGCGAUAGAUAAUUUUGUUUCCUAGAUAGAGUUUUGGUUAUUUGAUUGCCUCAUUUUCUUUUUUCAUCUUUAUCUUAAUGUAAUCAGGGAAGCCAGGAAUGGUAUCAUUUACGCCAGUGCCAUGGUCAGUACGGGUGAAAAUCAUAAAAGGGAUUGCAAAAGGCUUGGUUUAUCUGCAUGAAUUCAGCCCCAAAAAGUAUGUCCAUGGAGAUCUGAAACCUAGCAAUAUUUUGCUUGGACAUAAUAUGGAACCACACGUAUCUGAUUUUGGACUUGCACGCCUUGCUAAUAUUGCUGGAGGGUCUCCAACACUGCAAUCUAAUAGAAUGCCUGCAGAGAAGCCUCAAGAAAGACAACAGAAGAGUGUGUCCUUGGAGGUUACUACGACCAACUCUUCAAGUAACUUGGGAUCUUAUUAUCAGGCCCCCGAAUCACUCAAGGUGGUGAAACCAUCACAGAAAUGGGAUAUUUACUCGUACGGAGUGAUUUUGCUUGAAAUGAUCACUGGAAGAACAGCAGUUGUCCAGGUGGGAUCCUCAGAAAUGGAUCUUGUUAACUGGAUGCAGCUCUGCAUUGAAGAGAAGAAGCCGCUUGCAGAUGUUUUAGAUCCAUAUUUAGCUCCAGAUGCUGAUAAGGAAGAAGAGAUUAUUGCUGUUCUAAAGAUUGCAAUGGCUUGUGUUCAUAGCAGCCCUGAAAAGAGACCUACGAUGAGGCAUAUCUCCGAUGCUUUGGACAGAUUGAUUGUAUCCAGUGAUUGAGAAAUCAGAGAAUCCUGUGUCUCAACAAUUGCUUGAAGUUUCCUGCUUACACUGACUAGGGGCGGGGUUUGAAGAUAAUCGGAAAGUACGCGCACCCUUAUUAUGUUGCAGCAGUGGAGACAAAUGUUGCUAGUUGUCUUCUAAAGAAAAGUGUUCAUCUUUUUAUUUUUAUUUUUUUGUGGGAUUCCCAUCUUUCUCAAUGCAUAAGGGAUAACUGAAUGUUGGUCUGCUGUAAGAGCAUGCUAAGAGAGUCUGUAACUUGUAACUGCCCUGAGCAUGAGUUGGCUCUUAGUAUAUUUGUAAAAGUAUGUAUUCUUCUUCUUGCUCGUAUUACAGACCUUUUGUCUUUUGUUUUUCUCGGGCAGCGAAGUUAUUGAAUGUUUGUUCGUUUGUUUCUUUCCUUUUGUCAUAAUAACCAUUCAGUAAACAAUGCAUGACAAGCAUUUUCUACUCACAACUCACAUGAUUUAAGAAAGAACUUCUUACACAUUAAUUUCAUCCUUUAUUCAAUUUUCUAAUGAAAUGGCCCUGCAACCACCUGAUGAUGAAGAUUAUUGGAAGUGUUUUUUGAGUUAAUUUUGGAAGUAUCCGUCCCUGUCUUAUGACUUACAGCAUUACAACGAUUUGCAUCCCAUAUUUCGCAUCCUGGCAGGAAGUGAAAAAAGUGAAUAGGAGAAGUGCAUUGCCAAGUAAGACAAUCUGCUUAUCUACAGUCAGUUUCCGAAUCUUUCAGCCACAUUCACGAAAUGCUAAUAGUCUAUGUCUGAUAUGACACAUCUAUGAUCUGUCUUUUAGAUGCUCUACUUUACAUUUUAACUUUGGUGCUGUUUUCACGCAACUUUUGUCCUAUCUAACCUAUCCUAAUUUCAAUUAAUAAAAUUAAUAGCCUUAGUACAAUUUUUAUCUUUGUUAAAUUUUGGUGAAAAUCACUUGUGUUAUGGUCAAAACAGAAAUGGUGCAUCUUCUAGCUAGCAAACCACGAUGCGGGAAUUUAGGUGAGUGGAGUCCACCAACCCGAGGAUGCAAUGCGUGGAAAAUUCUUAGCUGUCCAUUGGAUUUAAUAAUUGAUUCAUUUGUCUCGGUCUUGACUUUAACAUAUCUUUCUUGUCUGAAUGUAUUUGGUCAAUUCUCUGCCAGCUACCAUUUCUUAGUAUCAAUGAUCAUCUUAGUCUCAAUGUUUGAGUAAUCAAAGGGCUGAUACUGAUUUACUCCAAAAUGAGGGAGCCAGAGCGCGGGACUUUCAGUUUAUGGAGGCAAAUUCUAGGAAUGCAUAAGAAUGUUGGUCUUAUGAGUUAUGUUUGUAUCAUAUCAAUGCAAGUCAUUUUAUAUGUCACAAACCAUGUGCUUGUAAACAGGAUAACUGGGAUUGUGGGAUUGAUUUGUUGAACUUAUUUUAUCUUUAUAAUUAACUUACAGAAUACGGAGAAUGUUGAUUAUUGAUGGCCUGUGGUUGUAGUUUUAGAAAGUAGGCACUUAACCCAUAGUUUUGGUCGUCUAAGGUGCCAUUCUAUUUUCCAAAGAGGCAAUCAAAUACCGAGUUCCUAACUUCGAAAACUUGCCCAAAAUAGGCUUUUCUAUGGGAAAUUUUUAGUAGAAUUCACUAAUGAAUGUGUAUCUCAGUUCCUGAGGAGAACUUACUGCAACCUAAAAUUUCCCCCAUGCUCAGAGGUUAGAUAUUAAAACUCAGCUUGACAGUAAAGUUCAUCUGGUUAAUUCGAUUUAUCUGUACAGUUGCAAUGCAUGUUGUGCAUCUGCAACAUCGUUGAAUACUUAUCGUUCAUUCCACCACAACAACGAGGUGCAAUGGUUUCACAGAAAUCUCCGCACAAAUGUACAAGCGGUUUAGGUUGAAAUCUCUUCUUUGUUCAAAGUCUGGUGGCAUUGUGAGUUUCUGAAGCAUUAUGAAUCUUUGACAUUUUUGUUCUACAUUUUGUGAAUAUAUGACUGUAAGGUUUCCCUGGUAUAUAUCUUGAUUGUCUCAAUUGACGAGUUCAUUUCACGCAGUUUAUAGACAAUCAUACCAGGAAAUUCAUUGUUGUUAUUCGUUCUAAUAUACUUGGAAAGUCCUGUCAGCCAUAGAAUAAUAUGACCUAGUGUAUGAAAUUUAUAACACUUGAUUGCAAAUUGUAACAGUAUUUACUGGCCACCAUUCUGAUUCCAAAUAUUUUCUCAUUUUCUUUUUGUGACACAGAAGUUGCAAAUUUUGAUUCCUCACUCUUAAGUCAAGUCAGUUCUCAAAGAUGCUUCAAAACACAUUGAAAAGUAACAGUAACUUGAAAUCAAGCGGCUAGAAUUUGGUGAACCAUAACGAAGAGCCUCAAUUUCGUGCAAUCCUUAGCCGCUUCACUGAUUCUACAAACUCUCUGUCAGGAUUCAAAACACAGGUUGUUCAACAAUUGUAUUCAACCCAAAGUAGAACAGGUAUAAACGUGAAAAUUGAAGAAGUUAGUAGUUGUUGGCAGCAUUAAAGCACUUACGUCCACGGAACAUCACCAACAGUCCUCCAAUUCUCCUCCCCGUCCUUAUACAACAGGGAAAAUUCAGACCUAGCCUGGAACAACCUUAGUCCAGACGUGGAACUUCUCCCUACCAAAAAAAAAAAAAAAAAUCUUAAUCAUGUUAUUCAUUUCUAAGAAGAAAAAUGGGAAAAAAUCUCGAGGUCGUGAGACUCAAGAUAUAGUUGAUUCCUACCAAACAUGUCUUCCAAUUGGCAUGCUAGGCUUGAGUAACCACAAUGAUCAAGUAUGCAAAUUUUGCGACCAACCAUAACUCCAUCCAUGUUAACUUUCACAUAAGCCCACCUCUCUUUGCUCUGGAUUCCCUCUGCUUCCUCGUCAACAUCUUCUUCUACAAGCCCUUGGAAUCUUCUGUUUGAGUUCUUCAGCUGUAAAUUAGUCUCUGGCCAUUCUAUCAAAUCAUCACCAUACCCCUCCAGGCCUGCCACGGUAAAAUGCAAGCUUCAGUUAAAUCAUUAUAAGCAAUCAUUUUCCCAAAAGAACAAAAGAGAGAAUAAAUAAAUCCUUCUGUUUAACAUUAUAAAGAACCAAUGAAAGAUUUUAAGCCUUCUUUUUUUCUUACUCAUUCAGCUUCCCGAACAACCAAUGCAUGAAUAUGAUGCAACUUACAAAUUAUGCAUACUAUUUCCUAAUGUUAGAAUGAACAAGGCCCUUGAUUUUUUAACGGGCAUCAGUUUCCCAAUGCAUGGGACGAAAAGGCUAGAAAUGCAAACUAAAAUGUAAAGGCAUACUAUGUCCGGAUGGAUGAUAGGCCUCGGGUUGAAAAGUUCUCAGGCUGAGACCGAGAUCAAUAGCACCAUCAUCUUGUUUGGCUUGAUUGUAAACUGAGUGAAAAGUUGAAGGUUUGAGAAGGAAGCCUGAAGCAUUCGAAUCCAUCGGAAUACCGUGAAAAACAACUGAGUCAGUGUUGUCAGCCAAGGCAGAAUGAUAUGAUGCUAACUAUUACUGGAGGCAGCUAUUUAUAUUAUGACAAGCAAGUGAAAUAUAUAACUGAAUCUACAAAUCCGAAACGAAAGUGGGGACCAAAAGAGAGACAUGGAAGAUAAGUGGAGGGUUUCUCCCAUUAUCAAUCAUUUAAUGUUGCUUAUCUUCUUCUGGUAGUCUGCUACUAUCAACAUGGUGAUACACAAGCAAGUUAACUAAAAAACAGGAGAACAAGGGAUGGCCAAAGUGAUUUUAACAAAAGUUGGUUUGGAUCCUGCAACCCAACAUUACUACAUUUGUUUCUGCUUUUCAGGCAGACAUCCACUGGUGACCAAAAGUGGGCAACCUGCCAGUGCAUAAUGAAGAUUCAAAUUCAAUUGCUUAUACUAAACAAGCCACAAUACACAGAGCAAGUACAUUUGAAGUAUUACAGAUGUAGUCUAAUAAUAAUUCUACAACUCAAAAUUUUGCAUACUCAAAAAUCCUCCAAAGAGGAACUGCAUUACAUUGUGACAACAUUUCAUGACCAAGCAUAAAGCAAUUAUAUAUUUCAUCGUUUUUAUUUGAAAAAAGAAAAAAAAUGUUAUCAAAUGCUUAAUGCAGUAGUUUCUCUGUCACAUCUAUUCAGUUAGAUGGUCUCUCUCAAACAGCAAUGUAGUGCCACUCUCAAAGGAGACAUUUGUUCGUAAGGAAUCAGGCACCCCACACCGCCCUGCCGUAGAGAUUAGAGCAGUUUGCUUUAACCAGAGAUCCAAACGCACAUAACUGCACUGCUCUGCACUAAACAAGUUUUCUUUUCUCUUCCCUUUCCCUUCUUGUUUUCCCCCUAUCAAGAUAAUAGUAGUAGCGUCCAUUGUCCAUGCCCUAAAACCUAUCAUCUAAUUAUGAUAGGUUUUAAAAUCAGGAUCGAGUUUACAUUCAACCUGGUGAAUGGAAAAUCCUAUUAAAUUCAACAGGUCACUCUAAAAUUUCCAUGUUAUAAUGUUGCACAUCCACAAAAAUUUCCGUCACAUUUUUUAAGAGUUCUAUUACCUGUUUCAAGUGUUCGAUUACAUCUUCCAAACUUAACAUUACAUUCUUAAAAAUUAAAAAAAGAAAAAAGAAAUGUUCGCUUUAUUUUUAUUAAAAAAAAAAGGCAGAUAAAAAGAUACAUGACGACUCCAUAACUACACAAUCUGGUAUACAGCUUCAGGCCCAGCAAUAAUCAAAAUUUUCAUGCAGAGCUCCGUAACCAAUUUCACUUAAUUUACACAGUUUUAAGACGACUGGAGAAACCCUAUUUUUUACAGUUUUCUUUCAUUUUCGAUUUUAAAGUACAACCUGGUAAGCAAACGUUCUCUCCCUUUCUUUGGAGGUCCUUCACCAUAAUGCUUUGAGCAUCAUGGCAGAAAAAGCGGGUAUACAUUUACCACAUAAGUGGCAUCAAUUGCUAAAUAGAGUACACAUUGUCACGAUCCGGAACCAAAUUAAAAACUGGAUAAAGAUAUGCAUGCCAUUAGGACGAGUAUUGCUACCCGAAACAGAAAUGAAGGUCUGUGACCUAGAUCAUGAUACUGAGUCAUAACGACCAAGAAAUUGGACUAUACAUGGAUAAACUUGCUCCACCGCCUGCAAUUUCAGAGAAGGGAAAUUUAAUACGUGCAGCUAAGGAAAUAACUAUCAAGCUUGAGCGACGAUCUUUUCCUGCAAAAUUUUAUAGGAGUAAGAAAGAACUGCAUACCAUCCGUCCUCCAACCAAAUCAUAAUGAGCAUAAUGUGGACCGCUGGGUUCGCCAAAAACUUUAUAGGUAACCAAGUCCUCAGGAAGGAGCUUGACAGUUUCUGGUUCAAAUCAUGAGAAGCAGCAAGCAGAGAAAUUAGUAUCUCCUAAAAGAAAGACUAACGUGUGCAUGCAUAUUCUGUAUGGUAGUUAAAACAUACCCUCUACAGCUUCUGGUGGGCAAAUAAGAUCCUGAUCUCCAGCAAUCGCUAAGAUAGGGAUGUUGCAUUUAUGUAUAUGGUCCUUGUAGAAAAAUUUCCCACCCCUAUCACGCAGCCCACCCUCUCGAAAAGCUGUUGUAAGCUGCAAGAUAAGUUUGGCAGGAAUAGUACCUACCGAUAAUAUUUAAAUUUAUGAGGUCAAACUCAGGAGGCACCAAAAUAAGAGGGAAGUAAAGCAUUAGAUUCUGUACACUAAUUAAUAAAAUAACUGUAGUUAACAAAAAGCCUUUAAAAGUCAAAGUUCUUUGUUGGACACAGAGUUUGCAUCCUGUGAGUUCUUGGAAUUUUCAAAUUUGUUCAAAAGGCUCUCAUGAAUUUGUGAGCCUCUAUAAAAGUGGUAACUUUAACUCCGCAUCUGCUAGUAUUUACAUCAAACCUUAGGAGUGGUCCAUAAAUAUUUUCCAAAAUAUAAAAUAGUACUUUAGAUACUCAAAGGAAACAUUCAGCUGUAGAAAGAAAUGCUAGACCUCAGUGAAAUCUGCUGGCCUAAAAUAAUAAUCUCAAACCAUUCUAGUGAGUUAAGUAUUGUGGGUGAGUUAAGUGUUGUGGCCCAUUAAUGAAUACCAACUACUGAUGUUUAACACAUAUGUGACAGUAUCUACCCUGAUGUGCAUGCUAUCCAUAUUUGUGCACAAAGAUAAAUCUUGCAUGUCAUGUCGAGAAAGCACAAUCAUACUUACAGAAGUUGUUCAAGACAAGCUUUUUCAACAACUCUGGAUGCAUCAUGUCUUCUGCUGAUAUCAAAUUAUUAAGCCAAGAAAAGACAUACGGGGGACUAGAUGAAAGAGGAUAAGCAGCUGUCAAUAACGCCCCUAAAGGUACAACAGGUACAUUGAGCGCCUGAGCUGGAUCAGCCUGUAUACAAGUAACUUCGACAUUGUUAUCUCAAUGAGGGCUAAUCUCCUAAAACUCUACAUGUAAGUUUUUCAGACACCAACAAACGCUUUCUUUAUGCAUAAAACAAUAUAUUUUUUUCAACCACUUACGAGGGGUAAGAGCAAUUUAAGUGUCGAUUUUGAAGAAGUGUAGUCAAGAGAUGAUGCCAAGGUAACAAUAGCCGCCAAUCUAGAUUCCCUUCCUUCAAAACCUUAUGAGAUGAAACUGUUUAAUAAGUAUAUAAUUGGUGAAUACAAAAUUGAAGAAAACAAAACUAUCAGCAUAAAGUUUCCAAAUGCUGUGUUACUCCAUCAUCUAUAGUGCCCAAAUGACAAAUAACAGGGAAACUGCACCAUAAACAUGUGCAGAGUGUGAGUAUUGAAGUUUCAAGGGAGUCACCAUUCUUAAAGCUGUGAUAAAGUAUCAGUCUUAAAGUUCAGCUUGACACUGAAGCAUUCCCAGCGGUAAUGAAACAGCUUAUUUUCUAAUAAGAAAUAAAAAUCCAUUUACAAUGCUAAAUAGAUAAUUAAAGACAAUCUAAGAGCCAAGUCAUUAGAAAAAAAAAAAAAAAGGAUGGCAAAGAGAGCUGCAAGCUGGAAAAAGGGGGAAAGGGAGGGGGGUGGGGGUUUGUUUUGUGCGGAAGGCUGCCUAGGGCAAAGCGAUUAGAGUUAUACAUAAGAAAUAUUAAUAACAUUUAGAAUGUCAGGACACAUAAAUCAUAUGAUGUAACCAAUAAAAAAUAUUGCUUUUCUCAAUCAGAUAUAUCUUUUUCCCCCCUAGAAAAAAAGACUUAUUCUUUAUGCAUUAUUAUGACUAGGUAAUAGUAAUAUCAUUAGAAAUGGCAAGUGAUGGUAUCUUACCACAUCUUGACAACAUUGCAUAAAGCAAGAUACCGCCCAUGGAGUGUCCAAUUGCUAGCAGCUUACCAUCCUUUGGCUUGCUUUGUGCCCUUAUAUAUUCCAUCUACAUCAAUAAGAUAUGAGAAUGUUAAUUCAAAAUGCAAAGAGUACAUAUAUUAGACCUACAUAUUAUAUAGCCCAAAACUGGUAUAUUUAGUUCUGAUUAAAACUGGCAAAAGUAGAGUAAGACAGAACCAAACAACCAUAUUAUAAUUCCAGCAUGAUAAAAUGUCACCUCACCGCAGCAGGAACAUCUUCUUCUAGGUAAUGAUCAAAAUCCCAGUCAUAUCGCACAAUCAGAUCAAGUUGCUUCUGAAAAUCAUCUAUUGUUGAAAACAGACGUUCUUGCAAGUCAAACAACUGAGGUGAAACAGACAGUUGACCUUCUUCAAUCAUAUUUACAAGGUUUUGACUCAGAUCUCUGAUUUGAAUAGCAAUAGCGGAGCUUUGCCUUCUUUCCAACAAGCUUGAAAGCUUCCCCCUUAUCUCGUUAAAGCCUUCAGACAACUGAGAAUCUUCCAAAAGUUUGGAUAUUUGAUCAAAUAAUUUAGCAGACAUUAUCUUAGAUUGAUUUUCACUGAGAAAGCCAGAGAGUCUUUCUGACAAACUCAUAAAUGUUUCUGUCAACUUUGUCACCAACUUUGAUUCAUCCCAUACUGUCGCUAACCGUGUCAAGUCAUCUUCUUUUUUGACAGGAGAAAUCUUGGAAUCUGACAAGGCACCAGGGAAAUCAGUCAAUUGCGGAUCUGCAGAAUAAACUCCAUUGGUUGCACUCUUAGCAAAAGCUUCACUGGUUGUACUGUUAGCGACAGCUUCCAUCUGUUCAGAUACUCCAUGGGCAGACUGCUGCGCUUCUUUCAAAUUUGAUCCCCGCACACUCAACCCAGCACCUCGAACCUCAAGGAUCCACGUGUCAAAUCCCUGGCCAGCCAUGUACCGUGCAAACGAAGACUGCAAAUGUAUCACUAGCAUUACUAUCAGGUUUAAGUCUAAGCAGAUAUACACAACAUUAAUUAGACAAAAAGCAUCGAGUAGAAAAUGACAACAUCAAAUCACUAUGAACCCACUUCAUAUAAAAACAAUACCCAAAAAGCAAAGGAACAAAAGGCACAACAAACAAAAUCCUUGAUUGUGUGAGAUUCUAAAAAAUUCGAUACCUUUUCUCAUUCUGCAUAAAUUAUAAACUAAUUUCAUCAUUUUUUUUCCCCCUGAACAGUACAAGUUUGAAUCCUAAAUUUUGAUAUGUUGAGCUGCCAUAAUAAUUGGGUUCUUACCAAACCAAACACUUGAGUAGUUAUAUGUACUUUGAAACAAAACGGUUACAAUUUACAAACACUACCAUACUAUCACUGUAAUACUAGUUUUUUUUUUUGGGAAAUGCACAGUAAUACUAGUUAGUAGUGUAAUAGUCGUGGUUUAUAACUAUAACAUUAAAUUCUCCAGAGCAGAAUAUAGGUAAGACAAGUUGAUGUUCACAUGUUAUAAAUUACAACUCACUCCAGGAGAAAGAUCGUAACCAAUAGCAUUAGUCCCCACUCCAGACAAAAGCAACAGCGGAUGAUUCCUUGUUGGCGCCUAUAAAUAAUUCCAAUAAAAUGGAAACAUAAGUUUCAUCAAAACAAAAAUUAUAACUUUAAACAAAAUUUAAGAAAAAAAAUGAAUAAAUAGAAAUGUUACGAUGUGAAACGGACCUGCGGCGGAGGAUUGUAGCGCCAAAGAGCGAGUCGCCAGUCGCAGUUAGCGACGGAGACGUAAUGGAGCUCGUCGGCCGAACAUAUCGGCGGUUUAUCCGAAACUUUCUCGACGAACGGUUCAUUCGCGUUGGUGGAAAAAGCUAAAAGUCGAAACGGUGUCGUGGAGCGAGAGAAAUGCGGACAACGCAAGGCGCCGGCCCACUGGGGAAUGAGUAGGUGGCGGUGGUUAAAAGAGCGGAAGAGCGUGCAAGUCGCAAGACGAAUAUCGGAUGGCAAUUGGUGGUAAAGUGUUGCAGUCGUUGUUGCCAUUUGCGUUUUUGUCUUAUGAUUGUGUUUGUGUUUUUUUUUUUUUGUUUUUUCCCAAAGAUUUGAUGGAGGUGCCUUUGAUUCGGUGCUUUGCUUCAAUUGCUUUGCGUCGGUUGGUAGUACGCCACAGGUGUCGUCAAAAUUCGGCGGCUCUCUAUUUUCUCUAUAGCCUUUGGUCAACCAAAAAUUGUAUCGGUAAAAUCGAUUCAACUUUUGUAUUAGUGCACAGGCACACUCCUGUCAAAUUAAUAUAAGUUAUAUUAUUAUGUAAUUUAAACAUUUCUACAAAAAAAAAUUAUAAUUUUAGAAAAGUAUAUGAUAAUUUUUUCUGAUAGGAUGAGAUAUUGUGGGAUUCCAUUUCAUUUGAGAUGAGAUUGUAAUAUAUUUUUGUCUCAUAAAAAAAAUUUAAGGACGGGAAUGAGAUUUUUUUUAUCUCACUUGCAUAUACAGGACGAGAGUAAGAUUGACAAAUUUUGUCUCAUUUCGUCUCAUUGUCGACUAAGAAUGAAAUAUUUUUUUCAAUCAUAAUGAGAUUCCGUAGGAUCCCAUUUCUUUUGAGAUGGAAUCGUGACAUAAUUUUUAUCCCAAAAAAAUAUAUAAGAACGGAAGUGAGAUAUUUUUUCAUCUCAUUUAUAUAUACGGGACGGGACUGAGAUUGGUAAAUCUCAUCUCAUCCCGUCUCAUUGCCAACCCUAGUAUAGAAUAACAUCUUAUCAUCUAUACAAUAAAUUGGUAGCCAUUAGAAUAAGUGAAAGUUCAAUUAUUUAAAAUUGAUCAUCACUUUACUCUUAAUUAGCAAAAAUUGUAAUUCUUUCUUUUAUUUUAUUAAAACUUAAGUCAAUGUGUCAAAAUUUCGUCAGUUUUAUAAAGGUUGUUUAUUUUUAUUUUUAAAAUUUGUAUUUUUCAAUUUUCACGCUUGCUGGGCUACUGCGAUCCAAAUAUUUUGGGCCGAAUAGCCCAAUCCAAUGUCCUAAACUGCCUUCGUAAAUUGAAGUUGUUAUUAUUCCCCCACACCUUCGUCUUCCUUCCUCUCGCUGAAGCUCAACUACGCAGAAAACAGAGUUUCAGCAGCUGGGGCCGCCUUCUGAUACAAGCAAACGAAAAGCACAGAGCCGUCACUAAAACACUCUCUCUGCAAGUUUAAAAGUCAUGUCAUCGAAUGACACUGCUAAUGAAGUAGAUGUAAACAGAGUGUUCAUAGGAGCAGGCUGCAACCGAAUUGUCAAUAACGUAUCAUGGGGCGCCUCUGGUUUGGUCUCUUUCGGUGCCCAAAACGCCGUCUCCAUAUUCUGUCCCAAGGUCCGCACUACCCCACUUUAAUUUUUUCAUUUCUUUGCCUUAAACUCGUCUAUCUUUUUUUUUUUUAAACUCAUCUAUCUUAUUAUUAUUAUUAUUAUUAUUAUUAUUAUUAUUAUUAUUGUUACUUAAUAUCAAGAUAUUUGUUUUACUUUUACAGACUGCUCAGAUUUUGACUACACUUCCGGGUCAUAAGGCUUCUGUCAACUGCACCCACUGGCUUCCCAGUACUAAGUUUGCAUUCAAAGGUAUAAUUUUUUUUUCCUUUAUUUCCGUUAAAAAUCGUUGCUUUUAUGUACGAAAUCUUUUCUUUAGAAGUUUAGGUUAAUGAGUGUGUUUACAGCUAAACAUUUGGAGCGCCAUUAUCUGCUUUCUGGAGAUACUGAUGGUGUAAUUAUUCUGUGGGAAUUAUCACUGGUUGACAAAAAGGUAUUCUAAUGUGCCAUUGUAUUCUGUCUUUAGAAUAUCUUAAACUGAAAGCUAUGUGACCGUUCUUCUUUUCUGUUUCAUUUUCUGCUACAUCAAAGUGUUAGUCAAUUGUCAAAGUCUUUCACUUGAAGAGAUGCAAACCAUUAUUAAUUUAUUUUGCUAUCUUAACAGUUUGUCUGAGUAAUAUUCUUUGUAAGUAUUGUUGUAUGUUUUUAUUUUUCUCCUUUACAGUGGAGGCAUGUGUUACAAUUGCCACAAUCACAUAAGAAGGGUGUUACUUGCAUUACUGGAAUUAUGGUUUCACAAAGUGAGGCAGUUUUCGCAUCUACUUCUUCUGAUGGUGCAGUUCAUAUUUGGGAAGUGGUCUUCCCAUCUAUUCCAGGAGGUAAAUCAUUAUGUUUUCUUCCUUUUCCAUUUGCACUAAAUGUAAUUAUUUCAGUUUCAGUUGGGUAAUGCAAGUUUUUUCGAUCACUAUUCUACAACAUUGAUUGAUGGUUGGAUUGUUGGAAACAUUUUUCCGUUUUUACUAUGUUUUUUCUGCACUUUUCACUUUUGGUUAAGCAUUUACCCUAAAAGUCUUGGUUGCUGUGUGUCAACUAAGGUGCAGAGUUUGUAUGUAACUUUAAAUUGUUACAAUGCUUGAACUCAAGAUCAAUUAGUAGUUUAUGCUGUUAUUUGAUAUCAAUCAUCAUCUGUGUUUUGCUGGGAUACUUGGUUUUGUUCAAAUAUUCAUGCUGGGCAUGUUUGCUAACUGAAACACUAAAAAUACUGCCUCUGUUUCCUUUAGGUGACUGUAAGUUGUCAUGUCUGGAAUCACUAUGUGUUGGUUCGAAGGCUAUGGUGGCGCUUUCUUUGGCAGAGUUGCCAGGAAACACCAAUCAUUUGGUCCUGGCCAUGGGGGGGUUGGAUAACAAGAUUCAUCUUUACCGUGGGCAGAGAACGGGAAAGGUAUUUAACUUCAAAUUAAGAAAUUACCAUGUAAUUUCCUGCAUGCAUUUUUCCUACGGCAUUCAGAUAUUAUGUGGUUAUUUUGUUUAUGCUUCCAGUUUGUUCGUGCUUGUGAAUUAAAAGGGCAUACAGAUUGGAUCCGAAGUUUGGACUUCUCAUUACCUGUAUGCACAAGUGGUGAAGCAAUCAGCAUCCUACUUGUGAGUUCAUCUCAGGACAAGGUAAUACGAAUUUGGAAGUUGGCUCUACGAGGUUCUUCAGCCAACACCCAGAGUACAUACAGGAAAGAGGUAAUAAGCCUGGCUUCGUACAUUGAAGGUCCUGUCCUUGUAGCCGGAUCAUCAUCUUACCAAGUAUCUGUGGAAUCUCUUCUAAUUGGCCAUGAGGAUUGGGUGUACUCAGUGCAGUGGGAACCUCCUUCAACUGCACCUUCUGAUGGGGUUUCCUGCCAACAACCGUCAAGUAUUUUAUCUGCUUCUAUGGACAAGACAAUGAUGAUCUGGCAACCUGAAAAGACAACUGGUAUCUGGAUGAAUGUAGUCACUGUUGGAGAAUUAAGUCAUUCUGCUCUAGGGUUUUAUGGUGGCCAUUGGAGCCCAGAUGGACGUUCUAUUUUGGCGCAUGGAUAUGGUGGAGCAUUCCAUCUGUGGAGAAAUGUUGGUGUUGACAUAGAUAAUUGGCAACCACAGAAAGUUCCUUCUGGGCACUUUGCUGCUGUGAUGGAUAUUUCAUGGUCAAGGUCUAGUGAUUACUUGCUGUCAGUUAGUCAUGACCAGGUGAGUGAUUACUUUAUGAGGGCUCUCUUUUGAGAAAUUACCAACAUAUCUUUACAAAUCUAGUCAAUUGGGUUGAUUUCUUUCGUGUUUAGCAUUUCAAAUUCCAGAGGUUGAUCUUUUUUAUUUAGUUUCUUUUUGGAUGAAUCCAAUUAAUCUUGAGUCCUGAUAGUGAUUAUAGACUCAUUAAUCUACAAUUGCAGACAACUCGUGUUUUUGCUCCAUGGAAAAAUGUAGCUUCUCUCAUGGGUGAAAACUCCUGGCAUGAAGUUGCACGCCCUCAAGUUCAUGGUCAUGAUAUUAAUUGUGUGACCAUAAUUCAAGGAAAGGGAAACCAUCGUUUUGUUAGUGGAGCUGAUGAGAAAGUUGCCAGAGUCUUUGAAGCUCCUUUGUCUUUUCUGAAGACGUUAAAUCAUGGCACUUCUCAGGAGUCUAGUUUUCCUGAAGAUCUCCAAGUAGAUGUUCAGAUUUUAGGAGCUAAUAUGUCUGCUCUCGGGCUAUCGCAGAAGCCUAUUUAUGUAAAUGGCAAGUUUCUCUUUCUCUCUGAUAAAUUUGGCUUGUCACGAUUUUUUGGAGCUUUUUUGGGAUUUUUCAACUGGACUUCAUAUUAAUUGAUGCAAAUCUGAUCCAGUCUUUUAGGACUUCGCAUUUUUCUCAUUUUACCCAGCUCAUAGUUCAUGCCUUUCAGAUUAUUCUGUGGAUUAGCAAAUUGUUUUGUUCCAUUUGGUGCAUAACCUAAUGGGGAGAGACCGCGAAGUGUCACUUGCAGUAUGAGUCCUUUCUUAAUAUCAUCUCCUACUUUGAAGAAAGGUUAAUAUUACCCGUUUGAGAGGAGUCAGAAGGUUGCCAGAAGGUUAUUUGAUCCUUUUAUUGGACCAUCAUGCAGAGGGUUACAGUUCUCAGCUCUGCCUUGAGAUCUGGGGUGAUUUAGUGCUAUAGGAGAAAGUAUGAUGCAGGCAAAAGUAUACCUUUUGUGCUUUAGCGUCGGGAAAGGCUUAUUUGAAGAGCUAUAAAGGGUUCAUGUACCAACCAAAGCUUGAUUUAUUGGGAACGGUUUUGUUGGGGGGGNNNNNNNNNNNNNNNNNNNNNNNNNNNNNNNNNNNNNNNNNNNNNNNNNNNNNNNNNNNNNNNNNNNNNNNNNNNNNNNNNNNNNNNNNNNNNNNNNNNNNNNNNNNNNNNNNNNNGGGGGGGGGGGGGGUGUUCUUAGGCAGAUUUGGCAGUUGAGACCAUUUUGUAGCCAAACAUGAUACUCUUUUUAAGAUAGAAGUUUUACUGUCUCACUAACAGCAUCAUGAAUGCAUAUAUUAAGACCAUAAUCUUUGCCUAUGGCAAACCAGAAAACUGGAAAUGUCAACUUGUUUCAGAAACAUGCUUUUCAGUACUUAAAAGAACACAUAAUAUGUUAUCACUUUUGCUUCGUUUCUGUAGGCAAUAGAUUUUUGUUUUUCAUUGACUAUCAGCCAGUAUUGAUGACUUCUAAUGUAAAUAUCUAAUGAGCCAGUGGCUUAUGCAGCUACACGUGAGACGGUGGAAAGACAUGGGAAUGAUGGUCUUGACACCCUUGAAAGUGUCCCAGAUGCAGUUCCAGCUGUGUUCACUGAGCCUCCCAUUGAAGAUCAGUUGGCAUGGCAUACGCUGUGGCCAGAGUCACAUAAACUUUAUGGUCAUGGGAAUGAGCUGUUCUCAUUAUGUUGUGACCACCAGGGGAAGCUUGUUGCUUCAUCGUGUAAGGUAUAUGACGUCUUUCUUGUAGCUGUUAAUUUGUGCUCUAAUUAAAGCAUGCAUAAGCACGCAAGACUAUUACGUUUGCAGGAAGUUUUGCAAUUUAAGAGUGCAUUAAGGUGGUGCUAAUUUCUAUUUUCUUACCCGACUCCCCUUCAAAUCACUCAAAGUCAGCUAUGAAUAGACAGCAGUUUCUAGUUUUGUUUUCACUCUAAUGCAUCAUAUUGGCUGUGGUGGAAUUGUAUAUGCAAUGUGUAUAUUGCUACUCUUAUUUGUUACAUAUCGUGUAGGCUCAAUCAACUGCAGCGGCAGAAAUAUGGCUAUGGGAAGUGGGUUCAUGGAAAGCAAUGGGUCGCUUGCAGUCUCACAGCUUAACAGUAACACAGAUCAGGUUUUCUCAUGAUGAUAAUCUUCUUUUGUCUGUCUCAAGAGACCGGCAAUUCUCUGUCUUUGCAAUUCGAAGGACAGGUACUGUAAAUUCUUUCUAUUCUUUAGAGAUUCUCUUAUAAUUUUGCAUCUUCUUCAGUUUGCUUGUAGCCCACCAGUGAAUUUUAAUGUCUCAUACUCAAAUUUUCAUUUAAUGAAGCUUUCUUUGAAAAGAUAUCUUGUAACUUUAACAUAACGAGAUAACAAUUCUGGGAAACUCAUGUCAUAAUCUCUGUUGUGCGCAAGAUAAUGAGUAAUGGAUUCUCAUGUCGAUUAAACACAAAUAUAAAUGCUAGUAUAAACUCAUCUUGCUAUAAUUUAAUAGAAAUACUGAGUUGAUUUCAACAUGAAAUUAGUCAAACUAGCUAAUACCAUGUUGAGAAAUAAUUAAUUCCUAACGCUUUAGAUGAUAGUAUAACUAAGAGCCCAACAAUAGAUUUUAACUCUUAACAAAUUCAUUUGGUUAUUUCCUUUCAAAGAUAAAAGGCAGAGAACAAAAAAAAAUAUUACAAUUUUAGGUGCCAGAACCUCAUUCUGUUCUUUUUGGAAUUAUCCCUACUACUGGGAUCUCUAGUUGUCAUGGUAGCUGUAAUUAUUUUCAUGUGACUUCUCUAUCUAUCAUGAACUCUACUUCCUAAGAAACUCAUUGGAGAUCAAUAUGCAACUCCAUGGCGAUAUGAAAUUUAAUGUGGAGGUCAACUAGUCAAAAGGGAGAAUUUUUUGGAUUCAUGAUGGGAAAUAUUUACCACCAUUCCCGAUCACUCUGCGUGAAUGAACAUCGCUUUUCAUAAAGUGUUCUGUGAUGGAAAUGUAUGAAAGACUAAUUAUUCAAUGUUUCUUGUUUUCCGUUAGGUACUGGUGAAAUAGACUAUCAGCUUAUAGCAAGGCAGGAGGCUCACAAAAGAAUAAUUUGGUCAUGCUCUUGGAACCCAUUUGGUCAUGAAUUCGCAACUGGUUCAAGAGACAAAACAGUUAAGAUUUGGGCUGUGGAAAACAAAUCUUCAGUUAAGCAGAUUCUGGCUUUGCCACCAUUCAACAGCAGUGUCACUGCCCUAUCAUGGGUCGGUCUUGAUCGUCAGAAGAAUCAUGGGUUUCUUGCAGUGGGAAUGGAAAGUGGAGUUAUUGAACUGUGUAGUAUUUCCGUUAAUAGAACUGAUGAUGGUAGCACAACAGCACCCAGUACUGCUAAUCUCGUCAUUAGAUUUGAUCCUUUCACGUGCCAUGUUGCUGCAGUGAACCGCUUGGCCUGGAAAACCUAUGAGAAGCCCAAAAAUUCCAGGAUGAUGCAACUUGCUUCCUGCGGAGCCGACAAUACUGUAAGAGUUUUUCAGGUUAAUGUUUGAUUAGUUGAAUAAUUAUUUUGUAUCCACAGACAAAAUUUUGACAUCUGUGCGUAUGGGCUAAUUCUCUCAUUUGUUGAAGAAAUGAAAUUCUUUGUAGUAGACGCUUGAGACACGCCUCUUUUAUUGAACUUGGAAAAAAGAUAGAUCUAUCUUUCAUGGUCCCCUGGUUGAACUUGGAAAAUUUAGAUAGAACUAUCUUUCAUGGUCCCCUGGUUCGAUGGCUGCGUACAUGAUUUCCACAAGUUGUAACUAAGGAUUCACACAUAUUGCAGAUUUAAUCUGCUACGUGUUGUGACUUGUCAAUUUUGACAUUUCAUAUAAAUUUUUGAGAGAAUAUAGCUACUUGCCGAUACAGACAAGCAGAAAAUUCUGGUGUUUGAAAUACGUUAGUAUCUACUACCUUGAAUCUAAGAAUUUUCCAUGUGUGUCAUCAUAUUAUAUUAUCGUGCUUUUCUCAUUAUGGGCGUGGCCAUGGAGCAUGCAUUCGGUCCUACAUAUGGCAUUCCUAUUAUUGGGUCAAGAACAUUGAAUAAGCACCUUUUUAUAGAUAUUAUAAUGUCAGCUGCGGCAAGCAUUAUUCCAUAUUGACCGUUGUGUGAACUGAAAAGCCAUUUGCCCUUGGCAAAGUUUCCUGUUAAGUUUCAUCCAUCUUCACGUCAUGUAAUUGUCCCACUUUCGAAAGGUUCUAUGAUGAAACGAUACACGCAUGAAUCAUUUCCCUACUCUAACAAGUUUCUUUUAGAGUUUUUACAAAUUUCUUAUUGUUGUUUGACCCCCUUUAUAAUUUAAUCUCACUGAAUUUUUUACUCAUCUUAACCAUUACAAUCCGGACAACAGAAAAUUCAAAUUCUGAUUCUGAUCUAGACAAUGCCAUACAUUUAAUUAAGCAAUUUAGCGUUUUAACUUAAUCGACGAGAUAAUUACAAAAUGUUGCAUAUGCAGAACAAGAACGUUAGGGACACGGCCUAACAUUGAAUAGUUGAAAACCACAACUUAUUGAGUUAUGACCUUGUCCUCGCUGGGAUAGGACCCAAGACAGAGAAGAGUGGAUGCACGUAGAUGCUUCGCAGAAUUAGCUAAAAAUCACGUGUGAUUUGGCCUCAUCAUCCAAAUAAAAACAACCUGAAGGCCGAAACUCUCACAUCUCGAAAAACAAACACGCAUUAACCUCGUACAUUUACUACAUAAUUUAACAUAAGUUAGCACUAACAAAAACAAAAGAAAACUUCAAACAAGAAUCAAAAAGUAGUUGUCUCCUGUUGUGUCAGACUGUACACACAUGAAAAUCAGGGGGGCGUAUAUAUUAUCACAUAAUGAUAUGGGUAAAUCUAUGAGCCCCAGCGUCAAAACAAUGGGACGGUUUUAUUAUGUUAUGUGGCCAGAGAGAACCAAAGUUUGUCGCCUAGUCAAUUUUUAGAAGAAAAUAAAUUCAAUCGUUAAAAAGUUACAAACUAUUCAAUUUGAAUUUCUCAAUCCUUCUGAGCGGUUCAAAUUCCGAUCCAUUAUGAAUAUUCAUAGAAUCAAUAAAAGAUGGAAUUCGUGAAGAGGGUCGCUUAAAAAAAUGGGACCACGGAACUCUCUCUUAUUAUGUACUUUCUUAUGAGUAGUGUUUGGACUGAUUACCGGCGAUUGAUUGACGGAAGGGAAAAUCAAAAAAAUAUCUGAUAAGGUUAUUGUCGAUGUUACUAUUGUAUUAUUUCCUUCCUUUUUAGAUCCAACUUUUUAGCUUGCCAGCAGACGCCCAUGCCCCCUAUCUCAUGUUCCUGCUCUUCCAAACACUUGUUGAGUUUCGGUAAAGGCUGAUAUCCCAUUCAAAAUAAAAUCAAAUAAUUGGUUGUCAUUUUCAUGACCUUGGGUUGGAGAAGGUCCCCAAUCUAGGACAUGCAUUGCAUUUGGUCCUCCCACGUGACUCUGAUCAUUCUUGAAUCACACUUCGGCCGGUGGGUGAGUCUUCAUGUUCCAAUGAUUUUGUUUCCGUUAAAGAAAUGAGAGCUGAAUUGGGGGCAUGUAACAAUCCAUGUGAUCCUGUGCUAAGCUCUAAAGCAGAUGAUGACCAUAAUCCUAGCGAAAGAAAUAACGACUUUGGCAGAAAACUUGGAAAUCGAUAAGAAUUGGUUGCACUAGAAUGAAAGAUCAUUCUCAUCUUCAGGAAUUUCUAGGCGCUAUAUUACAGUUCUGAGAGAUGAAAUUUACCUAUUCAGAUAAAGAAAAUCUUUGUAUAUGAUAAUGUCCAAUCAUUCAUUGCGAUGAAAAGAUUGAAUCCGCACCAAGAAGUUACAUUUGGCAUCAAUGAUGCACCGGUGGGGAAACUGAAUCAAGUGCAGAAGGAAACAGCAACAGAGUUAGGGGGGCUGCAGCAAUUCUAAACUGGAAAUGAAGUUCUUCACAGGUUAAAUGAAGUUCUUCACAAUCCUUAACUCGAAGACGAUGUAAAACAAUUAACCAAACACACCUAGCAGAUUAAGAAAAGCAUCAUUCAGAAACUCUGAUAUAUGAACUGCAUAAGUACACAAUAUUCGAGUUUCAGCUUUUACAGUAUAAUUCUCAGACCACUAUCGUUUCCUAUGACAAAUAUGAAAUACAAGAAAAGAGUAAACACAUCCACAGUUCCUUAUUAUAUCUAAUCACAGAUACAUAUCACAAACCAAUACCAAUAACAAGAAAAACAUUAAACCAAAAAACUUCUUUAAAAGGAAAAAAAAAAAAGGUAUAUAUGAACCAAACCCUUCCUUCAAAAUUGUUUCUUCUUUCUUGACAGAUAUUAUAGUGCCUGAGAAGUUCUGAUCUGUUGCUUGAUAUUCUCAUUGGAAAGCUGAGCAGAAGCUUCAGUCAUGGUUUGAUACUGAGAAGGCAUUGUUGGUGCCAGAGGCUGAGUGUAAUAUAUCUGGGAAUGAGCAGGAUCCGCAUAUUCAUAACCGUAAUUAGCAGUUGCCAUUGCCGCAGAGGUAGGCGCAACAGACUGAGAUGGAUGGUGAAUCUGAGAGUAAUUAACAUACUGCUGCUGACUAGAUGGCACUUGAACCAUCUGUGGAGUGCCUGUAGUAGUAGUUCUAUACACACCUGCUGCUGCUGCCAUUUCAGGUUUAGUAAUAUGUGUGUUUCUCAUCGGGUUAUAAGCUGCUGCUGGAGGGGGAACCAUGGAAGGAUUUGGUGGUGUCUGGGGACGGCUAGAGGUGAUGGCUGUGGGCGAUUCACUGACAGAAUGAGAUUGUUGUUGCACGGACAAAUUGUAAGCUUGCGGCUGUCUUCCCGCGGGCACAUAGUAAACUGGGUACUGCUGAUCAAGCUGAUGGACUUGGUGUUGAUGUUGAUGAUGGUGGACUUGAGGUUGCUGUUGUGAUGGAUACACAGGAUAAUAAGCUGAAAUUGGCAUUGCUCCUGCAGGGUGAUGAUGAAUAUAAUGUCCACCAGCAUGAACAAAUUGUUGCUGCUGUGGUAGUUGUUGCUGCUGUAGUUGUUGCGGCUGCUGCUGUAGUUGUUGCUGCUGUUGUGGUUGCUGCGGUUGUUGUUGAUCAAGUUGGGAUUGAAAUACAUACCCUGAACCAGGAUCCUGAAUCUGUUGUAC